UAUGGUAGUCCUGUUUUUAGUUUUUUGAAGAAUCUCCAUACUGUUUUCCAUAGUGGCUGCACUGAUUUAUGUUUCCACCAACAGUGGACGAGGGUUCCCUUUUCUCAGAUUCUUACAGAUAGGCUUUCUGAUGAUGGCCAUUCUGCUGUGUCUGAGGUGCUCUCUCAUAGUGGUUUUGAUUUACAUUUAUCUGAGGAUUAGUGACGUUGAGCAUCAUUUCAUGUGCCUGUUGGCCAUGUGUAUCUGUUGUGUGGAAUCAUGUCUUUCCACUUCAUAAUCAGGUUAAUAUUAUGUUUUAUGAGCUGUUUAUGUAUUUUUUGAUAUUAACCCAAUAGGUCAUAUCAUUUGCACAUAUUUUCUCCCAUUCAAUGGGUUAUUUUUUCAUUGUAUUGAUGGUUUCCUUUGCUGUGCAAAGUCUUUUAAGUAGAGCCCCCCUUUUUUUUUUUACCUUUGAUUUUGCUUCCCUUGCUGAGAAAAUAGAGCCAAAAAAAUAUUGCUAAAAUUUUUUAUCAAAGAGUAUUCUGCCUAUGUUUCCUUCUAGGAGUUUUAUAGUUUUAGUUUUAGGUCUUAUAUUUGUAUCUUUAAUAUGUUUUAUUUUUGUAUAAUAAAAAUGUGAGAAAAUGUUCUAAUUUCAUUCUUUUAAAUAUAGCUGUCCAGUUUGCAUAGCACCACUUAUUGAAGGGACUGUCUUUUCUCAAUUGUAUAUUCUUGUCUCCUUUGUCAUAGAUUAAUUGACCAAAAUUACAUGGAUCUAUGUGACUGUCUAUUCUGUUCCAUUGAUCUAUGUGUCUGUUUGUACUAGUACUCUGCUGUUUUGAUGCUAUACCUCUGUAGUAUAGUCCGAAGGAAGUGACCAUGAUACUUCCAGCUUUGCUUUUAUCCCUUGUUUUGGAAAAUCAGAGUCUUUAGUGUUUCCAUAUAAAUUUUAGGAUUAUUUGUUCUAAUUCUGUAAAAAAUGUCAUAGGUAUUUUGAUAAGGAUUUCAGUGAGUCUGUAGAUUCCUUUGGGUAUUAGUAUGGACAUUUUUAAUAAUGUUUAAUUCUUUCAAUCCAUGUAUUAUGAAUAUUUUUCCAUUUUUUGGUAUGAUCUCCAAUUUCCUCCUUCAGUGUCUUAAAGUUUUCAGAGUAUAGGUCUUUCACCUCUCUGGUUAAAUUUAUUCCUGGUAUUCUGUUCCUUCUGAUGUGAUUUUAAAUGGGAUUGUUUACUUCCUUUCUCUCUCUGAUAGUUCGCCAUUAGUGGGUACAGGAAAACAACAUAUUUCUGUAUAUUAAUCUUGUUUACUGCAACUUUACUGAACUCAUAAGUUUUAGUAGUUUUUUGUGGAUAUUUUUGGGUUUUCUAUAUAUAGUAUCAUGUCAACUGCAAAUGAUGACAGUUUUACUUCUUCCCUUCCAAUUUGGAUCCCUUUAAUUUCUUGUCUGCUGUGGUUAGGACUCAAUACUAUAUUAAAUACAGGUGGCUAGAAUGGGCAUCCUUAUCUUCUUUAGGAUUUUGGAAGAAAAGUUUUCAGCUUUUCACUGUUGAGUAUGCUCUCUCACAAUGAUGAGAGCAUUUUAUCAUGAAUGGAUUUUGAGUUUUGCCAAAUGCUCUGUCUGCAUCUGUUGAGAUGAUAAUGUGAGUUUUACCCUUCCUUUGGUUAAUGCUGUGUAUCACAUUGAUUGAUUUGCAGAUACUGAACCAUCCUUGCAUCUCUGGCAUAAAUCCCACUUCAUGGUAUAUGAUCCUUUUUAUAUAUUGAAUUUUAUUUGUUUGCUAUUUUUUGAGGAUUUCUGCAUCUAUAUUCACCAGAUAUAUUGGCCUGUACUUUUCUUUUUUAAAAAAAAUAUUAUCUUCAUUUGGGUUUAGUAUCAGGGUAAUAUUUUCCUCCCCUUCAAUUUUUUGGAAUAGUUUGAGAAGGCUACGUGUUCUCUCUUUAUGUUGGGCAGAAUUCUCUUGGGAAGCUGUCUGGUCUCAAAUUUUUUUUUUCUGGGGUUUUUAAAUUAUAAAUUUAACUUCACUACUGGCAAUCGGUCUGUUUGGAUUAUCUGUUUCUUCCUGAUUCAGUUUGGUAUUCUGUAUGUUUCUACAAAUUUGUCCAUUUCUUCUAGGUUGUUCAGUUUGUUGGCAUACAACUAUUUAUAGUUUCUCUUAGGAUUUUUUUCCCUGUAUUUCUGUGAUCCUGGUGAUAGGGACUGGAAACUGUGGCUGAAGUAUGUUUCACAAAGGAGGGUCUGAAAGGAACAAUUCAGUUUAGGAUGGUAAUUGUCCAGGAAGUGGCAACUGUUUCUUCCUUUGGGAUCUGCUUCACAGUUUCCAUUCCCAGAAGGUUGUUGUUGGUACUCCAUGCAUGAAAUGCUAGUUGUAGAUCAGAAGAAAGAUUCAAAAUGUGAAAGAAAAGAAAAACAUAUUGACUCUCUUUACAAGUCUUGGAAGAAAUUCUAGAAAAUCUGCCUUUAUCUCUUUGGCCAGAAUUUCAUCCCAUGCCCUCUUCUACCCCCUUAGAGAGGAUCAAAAAUAGUCUUUUAGAUGAGCACAUUGUCACGUGAUAGAGGUAACUUUUCAGCAUUGCCAUCUUUCAGAAGAAAAAAAAAAAUCCCAUAAAGUCUUACUGAAAUGUAUUACAGGUAUAGAGAUGUAAGAAUCACAGACAAAUCAUUUGGCUAUUUUGGCUUAUGUCACUUUCCCCAACAACACUUUACUAUGAACCCCCCCUAUUCCUUCCAAAAACUUUUUAUAAAGCCAGAGCUUCCAACUUGUGACUUUUCCUGCUGUACACAGACCUCUGGAACUGUCCAGUAAGUGGCAACUGUUUCUUCCUUGGGAUCUGCUUCGCAGUUCCUGCCUGGUUCCCCCUCAGUUCUUUGAGGGACUCAAGUGACUGAUCAGCUAGGUAGAAAGCUGGAGAACAAGAAUAAGGACUGCAGCCAUUUAUCAUGUGCUAGGAGCUUCUGUUAAAUAACUAAUUUUUAUAACAACAUAUUGAAGAAGCUGUCAUCUCAUUAUCACCAAUGAGGGAAUUCAGGCUCAAGCGACUGUAGUCAACAGCCCAAAUCUUGUUUAAGCAGUGCCUGUAUUAUUUGUGGCUUCUACAUGUAUUCCCUUGUGCCUUCUUUCAUUCAGUAUUUCAUUAUGUUCUCAUGAAAGCUCAAUGAGAAUAUAAAUGACAGGUUUGGAUUACAACCAGGGUCAAACAGUCAAGAAAGUCCACUUCCUUCAGCUGUCUCUGAAGCUACAAGGGUUUCUAGAUCUCUUAUCAUAAAAGCCUCCUCUUGACAUGUGCUGGUUUGUCAAUGCCAUUCUGGAAAUACUGCUCAGACUUGAACCUAAUUCCUAGAUGUGGAGGAAAAGCAAAACUAAAUGAACCUCAUUUAAGACAUUCUGAAUUGUGGAUAGUCAGAUCAAAGUGGAAAACGACUCUAAUUUAAAAAGUUGAAUUACUAGCAGCAAGUGCUGAGCCUAGCACAAGUUGAAUAUGGAGAUUUUGCAAAAACUAGGGUUGCACAGUUUACUGAUGAGUUUAUUUAGCAGAAUGUGAGAACUGUCUACAGACAACUGAAGGGUUGUCAGGUGGAGUGGAUAUUUGUGUUGUCUUUAUUGCUAUAAUAACCUUCUACUAACAGUAAUAACUUAUUUAUGGAACACUUUCUAAAUAUUACCUAAGUAAAUGACUUGGAAUAUAUUUUAUCUUAAGUUUAUUAUUUUGGAAUUACUAAUUCUAUAAAACACAAAAGGCUGCUGAGGUUUGGAGAGACAGGGACACUCUCAGAGUAAGUAGUAAUAAUGAGAAUCAAGUCUGUAGCUCUGCUGACAAAACCCAAAGCAAAGAAAUUACUGAAUUUUGGACAUUUUCAUUUCUGUCCAGGGCCUCAGUUUCUCAUCUGUAAAAUAAGCAUUUUGAAUCCUGAGGUUUAUAUAAGCAGUGGUGUGCUAGAGCCCAUGUGGACUCUGAGUGCUGAUGGUUUUACUUUUGAAAAAUUUGUGAGCAGUUUUUAAACAUAGCCAUCACUGACAAGUAUACUAUAUAAAGUAUGAAUUUAACAUGACAUUAAAAUAUAAAAUAUCCCAAUUCAUCAUUUUGUAACACUUGACUUCAUUUGACUAUUAUUGAUCCUCUUUAGGGUAUUAAUAGCUGUUGCAUCUCUGUGGUGGAAAUAUUAUGAAGUGGCUGUGCUACUUCCAUCUUUUUCUAGCUUCUCAUUCAGUGGGGUCAUUUUGUAGCUUGAUAUCUGCCAGAUUUGGGAGUAUUUACACCAUGAAAAUUGGUAAAUGCUACAAAUUGAGGUUUGGUUCAUUGUUUUAUUGAUUGUAUUGGCUUAUGUAACUGAUGGAAAAUAUUCAAGUUAGAAUGUCACACCUAUAGGCAUUACAUUGGAGGUGCACAAAAAAUAAGGAAAUGUUCUAAUGUCUGGAAACUAUCGUCCAAUUCAGAAAAGAAAGCACUCAAUGUCUUUAAUGAAUGAAAGAAGUUACAACUUAGGACUUUGUUUUACUUUGUCUCCUUCAUUAACACAAAUGAAUGUUGGUGGAUAUUUUUCAUUGGUCAGGUGUGACCGUAGCUUAACUAUAAUGAAAAAUUCAGUACAGUGAAAAUAUUCAGUAAAAAUCAGUUGGCUAUAUGGAAUGUAUAAUAAAGAAUGCUAUUUUAUUAACUUGAGCUACAUAUCCUUUAUAGAAAUAGUGUAUUGUGCACACACACACACGCUUUAAGUUUGUAUAUAAAGGUAAAUAUGAUUAUAUAUACACAGAGACAUACACAUAAUAUGCUGGAGAACUGGUUCUUAAAUGUUUCCUGGCACCUAUUUAAAUUGCUUAUAAGGCCUUCCUCAUCUUUGAUAUUUUUAGGAGUCUAACCAGGACCAGAAGGUAGAGACCUCGAGAAGCCAAGCACUGUGAAAAACUAGGUCCCCGUCACUAUGCUCAUGACAAAGCCACUUCGCAGGGGAAAGGAGGAUGUGGAUGAUGUUGGAUGUUCUUCUUCCCCAAUCAGAAAGGUUCACAGCAGCUAAAGAGGAGGACACUGGUGGGAAAGGUGAGUGGGCAUUGUAUUCCCAAGGCAGUAGCCGAUGGCUCAGGAGACAUAAGAACUUACCAAGAGUCUUAUUCUUGAUAUCCCUACAUAAAUAGAAACUUUCUGGGUGGCUAGGGGCAGAAUGCAUAGCCUCUGGAGCCGAUUUCUUUCACUUACGUGUAUGCUUCCUCACUGGCUGUGCAUUUCAGGUGUUUAUGUAUUAGCCUCUCAGGUGAGUCCUCUUGGGUCUGAGGAGUAGGUCUAGCUAAAAAUGAGACUGCUCAAGAAAUUGUUGAUCGCCGUGCCUUUUGAAGGAACUCAAUACAAAUUCAAUCUGCCCUCCCCUUUAGUUCCUCAAAUUCUAGAACGGUGCAGAGAUUAUAAGAAAACCUUCUCUCAAUAUAUUCUCUCUGAGGCAUAGCCGCUCUCCACGGCUCCAUCCAUAAACACAGAGGGCUUGUCUCUUCAUUAAGAGAUGUCUUGCCAUGUUAUCUGUAUGUUGAACUGCAGUGGUGUCCUUAGAACUUCAGGACCAGAUUCAACUAAAGCAAACCAGUGAGUAUGUUUUCUUUAACUUGGUCUUGAUUCUCAUGUAACAUCAGUGAAAAGCCAAGUAGAGAGAAUUUGAGUGUAAGGAAGCUAAUUUCAAUUUAAAUGCCGACUGAAAUGCUCCAGAAAUGUUCUAAACCCAUUACGUAUACUCUCUAUUCUAACCUUCACUAUUCUAUAAAGGAAUAGACAGGCUGAGAGGUUAAGAUGGAUUACCUGAUACCAAACCAAAUACCUUUGUAGGUGGCAGACCCAAGAUCUGAGCAGCUCAUUCUUUCAUAUAAAUCUUAGUGCCUCUUUGUAGAAAGCGUCUAUUUGUAAAUAGAUAUUUCAACAUUUAUCCAUAGGAUAAACAUUCAACUGACAUUUCGUAAUUAUUUCUAGGACUAGAGUAUCAUAGUGAUGAAUUAGAGGGCAAAGGAGUAUUUUGAAAAAAAAAAAAAAGUGGAGAUUGUUUUGGUUGUUUUUCACUGCUUCAAAGACUUAGGAAAAAUAGAAACCCAAAUGGAGAGGAAACAGACCCAUUCUGAACUUGAACCCAGGUACACAUGGUAUAUUCAGCUGUUAGAGACCCCAGCUCCCCACGCCCAGGCUUUCUCUCUAACCACUGUACCCCACAGCCUCCUUGCACACGUGACCAUGUUCAGUUUCCUUCAUUCAUCAUCCACUGUCUCUAAGCUCCUCCUGGUCUUCUGGUUCUUCUCACUCUUCAUCCUUGCAGAAAACACAACACAUUCUAGCCCUCGAACCCCUAAUUUUAGUCCCUGUGGCCCCAAGAACAAGCAUGAAGGCACUAGUUUCAAUAUUGUUUUCCUUAUCUAUUCUGAAUUGGUGUCUCUAGAGCUGCUGUCACUGAGGGUAUGACAUAUAUACUCUGCCAAGAUUUAUAAGAAUCAUGACCUCACAAGAAGCCUAAGGAAGUGUUAGGCUUAAAAUCAUUCACCAGCAUGUGGCAAAUCUCCAUAGCCCUCAUAACUUCCUUAUUUAUAGAUACCUGCUGCAUUUUUUCCAAGGAGCCUUAGCUCUUAACAUCCUGUAGAGUGAUGUAUGUGAACCUCUUAUUAACUGAAAAUUAGGAACUCAAAGUAUUGCCUGGAGUUGAGAAACAAGUUCCAGAAUUGCUGAAAUGACUUUGCAUAUGCACACACACCACACCCCCAUACUCUCUCUCUGGAAUUCCGUAAUGGAGUAAACACAUUUUGAUCUAAUUAACAGUCUCAGAGAUGAUGGCAUGUAUAUUGUACUGGUACAACCUAUAAGUCAUCCUAAAUCUCUACGUUGGCAAUACUCUAUGUGCAAACUGUUCAGGACACUCUCCAAAGAGAAUUGAGCAACCUUCUUUUAGAAGGAUAGUGACAGCAUUGAUUUGCGCUUUAUGUGCUUAUAAGUGAUGGAGACAGAAAUCAUUCUGAGUCAUGUUCAGAAGGUAUGUAUACCUGCUGAGCUUUAAAAAGUGAUGGUUUGUAAGUCGACUAGUUAUUUUUCCUAAAGAUACUUUUUAAAAGUUUUGAGACACAAAAGAAAAAAAAUAAACAAAAAAGUCUCUCAAAGCAGUUACCCUUUCUUCUCUCCCUUGUGCAUUUCAAAGAAGCUAUUCAAAGCUAGUAUAUGCAAACUUAUAACCCAGGACCAUGCAACCAGCCCAACUAUCAAUUUAUGUUCUUUUUUGGAAACAGCUUGUAUUUUGCAAACCACUUUCCCUUUUAAUUAUUAUAACAAUGACUUAGAAUAAUGUUUCUCUUAACUCAGAGGCUAUAUUCUCAUUACCCACUGCAUGGCUGGUCCCUUUUUUUUCCCACCAGUAUAUGGCAUUCUACAGCAGGUAUGGGGUUUGUAUCUUUCCAGGCCAGCCUGUCUGGAAAGAGCUUUAUGGCAACACUACUGAAUAUUUUCUCCCCUCAGUCUCCAUAAAAUGGCCACUUUCUUGAUUUCCACAUCUGCCAAGCUGGAGGGGUGUCACCUUCUUUGGGUGGCUGCUAGGAGCAAAUGAAAUAGCUCUUGGCACAUGCUUCUUUCUCUGUAACAAUUAUUAAUUACUAUUCUUGUCCUCAUCUUCACUAGGGGGACUCCUGGGAGAAAGACAGUGGACUUUGAUUAAGAAGGGCUUGUGCCCAUCCCAGGGCUGCUGGUCAGUCUCUGGGCCUGUUUUCUCAAUUGGGAAAAGACUUCUGAGUUGUGAGCCAGUCUCAUGAUCUUAGCAUUGUUUAUAGUUUUCACAUAACCUAACAUUUAUUUGAUUACUUUAUGCAUAUUGAACACUGAUCUAAAUAAUUUACGAAUGUUUGUUUCAUUUAUAUAUCUUUAACGUGAUAUUUUAAGUUUUUGAAAUCAAAGUAAAUAUUGCAUUAUCCCAGAUGGCAGAUGAGGAAGUGGAAACACACUGUGGAUACCCAAUUUUCCCAAAGUUUUGCAACAAUUAAGAGGGGAACCAAGCAAUUUGAUCUCAGACUAUGAAGCCUUGAUGAAUAUCCUUCUCCACCACCAAUUCAACUCACUGCAGUGGCCUCCUGGGCACCAGCAUUCCCAGCAUCAAUUCCCCUGACUCAGUGGUGUUGACCAUUCAGUACAGGCCCUGUAGCCAUUUAAAACCAUUUCCAUGGUCACUACUGAUUCAAUUGCACUCAUUUCUACCGACACUGCUUUCCUGCCUUUCUUCUCUUCAUUACGC
rnacentral:lncRNA from 1 species